AUACGUAGGUGGCAAGCGUUGUCCGGAAUUAUUGGGCGUAAAGCGCAUGUAGGCGGUAAUUUAAGUCUGUCGUGAAACUGCGGGGCUCAGCCCCGUAUGGCGAUGGAAACUGGGUUACUUGAGUGCAGGAGAGGAAAGGGGAACUCCCAGUGUAGCGGUGAAAUGCGUAGAUAUUGGGAAGAACACCGGUGGCGAAGGCGCCUUUCUGGACGGUUUCGGACGCUGAGAUGCGAAAGCAAGGGUAGCGAACGGGAUUAGAUACCCCGGUAGUCCUGGCCGUAAACGAUGGGUACUAGGUGUGGGAGGUAUCGACCCCUUCCGUGCCGGAGUUAACGCAAUAAGUACCCCGCCUGGGGAGUACUGCCGCAAGGCUUAAACUCAGAUGAAUUGACGGGG
rnacentral:rRNA from 1 species